rnacentral:rRNA from 1 species
UAAGACGGAGGGAGCAAGCGUUGUUCGGAUUUACUGGGCGUAAAGGGCGUCUAGGCGGGCUUGAAAGUCAGGUGUGAAACCCCCCGGCUCAACCGGGGAACUGCACUUGAUACUGCGAGUCUUGAGUACGGAAGAGGAAGGCGGAAUUCCUGGUGUAGCGGUGAAAUGCGUAGAUAUCAGGAAGAACACCGGUGGCGAAGGCGGCCUUCUGGUCCGAUACUGACGCUGAAGCGCGAAAGUGUGGGGAGCAAACAGGAUUAGAUACCCUGGUAGUCCACACUGUAAACGAUGGAUACUAGGUGUCGGGGGUAUCGACCCCCCCGGUGCCGCAGCUAACGCAUUAAGUAUCCCGCCUGGGGAGUACGGUCGCAAGGCUGAAACUCAAAUGAAUUGACGG